UCCCCUGCGGGUGUGGGGACCGUGGGCGCAGGAGAGCAGGACAUUCCAGUGCGCGGGUGGGACGCUCUGUAUAUAACAACAUUUUGAUUUUGAUGAAUUUCCCCCUUAAUUUUGAUGUAUUAAAGAUUUUUGUUUUGAGACAAGGUGUCCCGAGCUGCUCAAGGCCUCGCUAAGUUGCUGAGGCUGGCUCUGAACUCGCGAUCCUCCUGCCUCAGCCUCCGGAGUCGCUGGGAGACCCUGACUCUAUAUAAAACAAUAAGAGAGGGGCUGGGGAUGUGGCUCAGGGCUAGAGCUCCCAGGUUCAGUCCCCAGUGUACAUGGGAGGGUUAUUGCUUUAUAUUUUUUUAUUGUCAUUGUCGUGGUGUUGGGGUUGCCGGGCACCAGCUUUACCACUGAGCCCCAUCCCCAGGCCCUAAAAUAUUCGUCUUGGUUUUUUGCUGCCUUCUCUGUGCCUCUUCCUCCUUACUCUGUCCCUGAGUCUCGUGUAGAGGGUGCUGGGUCCCUGGGUGUCCCCUUCCUGCACACGUGUGCACCUGGAGGGGCCCCACCAACUCUGCACCUUGGGGAGUGUGUGGCUCCAUCUCUGACCAGGUCUUGGACCUGCUGGGGAACCAGCACCAUCUGCAGCUCCAGGAGCCCAACAUUCUUUGGGUCGGGCUUGGGGCACGCAGGUGGGGACAUGUACAGCUGGGGACGUAAGUGUGGGCAUGAGAGUGGAUGACGGAACAAACAGCUUCCUGUGUGUGCAGGGGCCCCAAAUAAGCAAGCCAGUUUCUCUCUCUCUUUCUGUACCGGGAAUUGAACCCAGGGGCACUUGACCACUGAGCCACAUCCCAGCCCUAUUUUAUUUAGAGGCAGGACCUCACUUUGGCUGAGGUUGGCUUUGAGCUCACCAUCCUCCUGCCUCAGCCUCCUGAGUGCUGGGAUGGCAGGUGCGCACUACAGCGCCAGGCUUUUAUUUUUUAUUUAGAGACAGGGCCUCACUAAAUUGCUGAGGCUGGCCUCAAACUGACUUUCCUCCUGCCUCAGCCUCCUGAGCUGCUGGAUCACAGGCGGUGCCACCACACAUAGCCACUCCCUGUUCCCUGUGCAUGAGGAGCCUCUGGUGAGCUGCUGCAGUGGCUGGCGGGAAGACACCUCCUUCACGGGCUGCUGCUGGACGGGGACACUGCGCUAGUGCCCGGCCCCGGGGCCCUGCUCCCGGCUUCUCACCGCCG